rnacentral:lncRNA from 1 species
AUUUUAGGUAAUAGGUAUACAAAUCCUGUUUGAGCCCAGUGUACACUCCCAUACGUUGAAGCAGGCCUGCUUUACCAUGAUGCUGCUGGAUGAUGGGUAUCACUUCACUAACUGUUGUUUUCGUGGCACUACAUUCAACUUUGAGGUCGAACUUGGAGGGUUUAGAGUUUAUAUAGGUUCCGGUCCCCACCAAGUUGUUCUAGAACAAUUUGGACUGUUCCAUUCAGUUGACUCUCCUCGUGCCUCAAAAGAUCGUUAAACAAAUUUGCUUAAACAUUCUGUUCGUCAUCUCUCUCUAUCUCUUUUUCAAUAGAAAAUAUGUAUAACUGCCUCUCUGUCUCGAGCUGAUGUUCAGCAAACUGCUAUCGAAUUUGGUUCUGGAAAUUUCCAGGCGUUCCCAGUUUCCUUUGUGUACUUAUCAGAAACAUGGACGGUUCUAUUUGCUGCAUUGCGUUUUAUUGAUCCCUCAACAUUGUAUACCGAAGAAAUUAUGUUAUAUGACAAUAUUUUCAUGUAAAUUGCAAUUAACAAAAUACAUAUGCAUAUUAUUACUUGCUACGACUUGGAAAAUCAUAAUUUAAAAUAGCACUGUAAUUUUUAGCCUUUUUUUAUGCGUAAUUAUGAAAAUUUCGAUGUUUAUUUUUAUUAUUGAGUCAAUAUUUUAAUUACUUUUCACAUUCGCUUUAUAUGAAGCACCUCCAUAUACUGAACGAUCAUAAAAAUAAUUCAAUUCGAAAAAUCACAAAAUAGAUUUUACACAAAUUAUCUAAAUAUUGAACAAUAUCUAACUCAUAAUCCAUUUUAACCUUUUGUAGUAUCGACCACCACUUUAAAAAAAAUUUCCGAUUUCCUGAUUUUCCCUGAUCGUAACUAUAAAAAUUUUUUUUCAGGGUGUACACGCUUCAUUCUAUAAAGAUAUAAUCAAACUUUUUUUCUGUUUAGCUAAAAACAUUUUCCUUUCAACUUGUUCAUGGGGAAACUCAGUUCACAGUUUGCGACAUGUUUGCCCUUGAUUAUAGUUAUCUCUAUACGGUAAGUAUGUGACACUAAUGUCAACGAUUGGGUAUUUUUAGGUUUCAUAAGCGUUAGAUUGUUCUUUAUAAAUACCAUCCAAAAAUAAUAGUCUAGGUCAAUUUAUAGUUCACAUUCCUAACCUUAAGGGGAAGAAAAUCUUGUUUUGGAUUGUGCACCUCUUGUUAACAACAGUUGUGACAACCUAUAUGAUUAUCUUAAUUCAGUUCGAUUUGGCUAGAGUAACACCCACCCCAUCAACAAUUCCUGCGAAUUAUUCAGAUCCAUAAAAACUUUACGUAACAGUAACAAUGGAUGGAAUUAUUGUUAGUAUCACGCACAUACUCAGCUGUAUUGAGAAUAUGAAUACAUAUGGAGAAGGAAUGAACGUUUUCCAUGUGAAUUUUGACUGACCCCUUGAAAUUAGGCCGAAGGGGAAGUUAUCCCGUCAACCUUUCAAAAUGGGGUGCAUACAAAAUUAUACUUGCACAAAAGUAUGCAAAUUUUUGAAGCCCUCAUUGCAAGGUUGCAAUUUUAACAAAUAUCAUGUAAAAAUAUACGCCAUGUUAGUUUACAAUGGAAUAAUUUUUGUGAAAUUAAUGUUUGUGUUGUAUCUUCGUAUUAAAUUAUUCCGUUAUGCAUAUUAUAGCACAAUACCUUAAUGUAAUUAUUUGCAAUAUCUGUAAAUUUAUACAUAAUUCAA